rnacentral:rRNA from 1 species
GACGAACGCUGGCGGCGUGCUUAACACAUGCAAGUCGAACGGAAAGGCCCUGCUUUUGUGGGGUGCUCGAGUGGCGAACGGGUGAGUAACACGUGAGUAACCUGCCCUUGACUUUGGGAUAACUUCAGGAAACUGGGGCUAAUACCGGAUAGGAGCUCCUGCUGCAUGAUGGGGGUUGGAAAGUUUCGGCGGUUGGGGAUGGACUCGCGGCUUAUCAGCUUGUUGGUGGGGUAGGGGCUUACCAAGGCUUUGACGGGUAGCCGGCCUGAGAGGGUGACAGGCCACAUUGGGACUGAGAUACGGCACAGACUCCUACGGGAGGCAGCAGUGGGGAAUAUUGCACAAUGGGCGGAAGCCUGAUGCAGCAACGCCGCGUGCGGGAUGACGGCCUUCGGGUUGUAAACCGCUUUCGCCUGUGACGAAGCGUGAGUGACGGUAAUGGGUAAAGAAGCACCGGCUAACUACGUG